CCUACGGGGGGCAGCAGUGGGGAAUUUUGGACAAUGGGGGCAACCCUGAUCCAGCCAUUCCGCGUGAGUGAAGAAGGCCUUCGGGUUGUAAAGCUCUUUCGGCAGGAACGAAAAGGCUCUCUCUAACAUAGGGGGUCAAUGACGGUACCUGAAGAAGAAGCACCGGCUAACUACGUGCCAGCAGCCGCGGUAAUACGUAGGGUGCGAGCGUUAAUCGGAAUUACUGGGCGUAAAGCGUGCGCAGGCGGCUUUGUAAGACAGAUGUGAAAUCCCCGGGCUUAACCUGGGAACUGCGUUUGUGACUGCAAGGCUUGAGUGCGGCAGAGGGGGGUGGAAUUCCACGUGUAGCAGUGAAAUGCGUAGAGAUGUGGAGGAACACCGAUGGCGAAGGCAGCCCCCUGGGUCGACACUGACGCUCAUGCACGAAAGCGUGGGUAGCAAACAGGAUUAGAUACCCUGGUAGUC
rnacentral:rRNA from 1 species